AUGAACGCUGGCGGCGUGCCUAAUCCAUGCAAGUCGAGCGAACAGACGAGGAGCUUGCUCCUCUGACGUUCGCGGCGGACGGGUGAGUAACACGUGGAUAACCUACCUAUAAGACUGGGAUAACUUCGGGAAACCGGAGCUAAUACCGGAUAAUAUAUUGAACCGCAUGGUUCAAUAGUGAAAGACGGUUUUGCUGUCACUUAUAGAUGGAUCCGCGCCGCAUUAGCUAGUUGGUAAGGUAACGGCUUACCAAGGCAACGAUGCGUAGCCCACCCGAGAGGGUGAUCGGCCACACUGGAACUGAGACACGGUCCAGACUCCUACGGGAGGCAGCAGUAGGGAAUCUUCCGCGAUGGGCGAAAGCCUGACGGAGCAACGCCGCGUGAGUGAUGAAGGUCUUCGGAUCGUAAAACUCUGUUAUUAGGGAAGAACAAAUGUGUAAGUAACUAUGCACGUCUUGACGGUACCUAAUCAGAAAGCCACGGCUAACUACGUG
rnacentral:rRNA from 1 species